rnacentral:misc_RNA from 1 species
AGCCUAACAAAGAAUUAAUUAGCCCAAACAUCCAAUAAGAAAGCUGCUUUAACCUUCUUUCUUUCUUUCAAUUAAUAUUCUUAGGACAUAGUAUCAAACUAGAAAUAAACUAAAUAUCUGAAAAUUCCAAGAUAACGAUAUUAAAAUUGAGAAAAUUAAGAAAGAGAAAAGAAAUAUGAAGCCAAAGAGAGAAAGUUGCAUUUUAAGAAGGAAAGAAAGAAGA